CCUACGGGAGGCAGCAGUGAGGAAUAUUGGUCAAUGGACGAGAGUCUGAACCAGCCAAGUAGCGUGAAGGAUGACUGCCCUAUGGGUUGUAAACUUCUUUUAUAAAGGAAUAAAACGAGGCACGUGUGCCUUUUUGCAUGUACUUUAUGAAUAAGGAUCGGCUAACUCCGUGCCAGCAGCCGCGGUAAUACGGAGGAUCCGAGCGUUAUCCGGAUUUAUUGGGUUUAAAGGGAGCGUAGAUGGGUUGUUAAGUCAGUUGUGAAAGUUUGCGGCUCAACCGUAAAAUUGCAAUUGAUACUGGCAGUCUAGAGUACAGUUGAGGUAGGCGGAAUUCGUGGGGUAGCGGUGAAAUGCUUAGAUAUCACGAAGAACCCCGAUUGCGAAGGCAGCUUACUAAACUGUGACUGACAUUGAUGCUCGAAAGUGUGGGUAUCAAACAGGAUUAGAUACCCGGGUAGUC
rnacentral:rRNA from 1 species